UACGUAGGGUGCAAGCGUUAAUCGGAAUUACUGGGCGUAAAGCGUGCGCAGGCGGUGAUGUAAGACAGGUGUGAAAUCCCCGGCUUAACCUGGGAACUGCAUUUGUGACUGCAAGGCUGGAGUGCGGCAGAGGGGGAUGGAAUUCCGCGUGUAGCAGUGAAAUGCGUAGAUAUGCGGAGGAACACCGAUGGCGAAGGCAAUCCCCUGGGCCUGCACUGACGCUCAUGCACGAAAGCGUGGGGAGCAAACAGG
rnacentral:rRNA from 1 species